UACAGAGGUCCCGAGCGUUGUUCGGAUUCAUUGGGCGUAAAGGGUGCGUAGGCGGCUUCCUAAGUUUGAUGUGAAAUCCUGGGGCUCGACCCUGGAACUGCAUUGAAUACUGGGAGGCUAGAGUACUGGAGAGGAAACUGGAAUUUACGGUGUAGCAGUGAAAUGCGUAGAGAUCGUAAGGAAGACCAGUGGCGAAGGCGAGUUUCUGGACAGUUACUGACGCUGAGGCACGAAGGCCAGGGGAGCAAACGGG
rnacentral:rRNA from 1 species